AUUAAGAGUGGCAGAACAAGUGUCAUGAACUUAAAAUUCAUUUAUGAAUUUAAAAAUUUCCUUAAUA
rnacentral:tRNA from 1 species